AAUAAAAAGUCAAGUGCUGCCAUCAAACAGGUUGAUAUUAGGAAAAAUUCCUGGUAUGCCAUCCGAUUUUAUACUAUAUUAAGCAUUAUGAUAUAAAUAAGAAAGUACAUGAUCAAACAGAUAAACUUGAGCAUAUACAUAGAGAGCAAAUGCUUGCAACUCCUCUCACUGAGGACUUGGACUUCCACCCAACAUGAUCUGAAAUCACGUACUGGGUUUAAUAGAACGCGCAUAUGAUUCUAGAUUAAUAGGUCAUAAAUUUCACUAAUUUCCCUUAAGACUAUGUUAUUUGUUUUGAGAUAGAAACAUAUACUAAUGUUAUUAAGUUCAGAAGCAUAUAUAAUAGACGGUCGUAACACCUUGGUCUUCGUGUAUCGAUUUAUCAUAGAGUGAAAAUUGUAGGAUAAGAAAUAAACAAUCUAAAGUGUUAGCGCGCGGGCACCAGCACGCGAGCGUCGGUCCAUUUUCUUUAGCUCCUCUAGUAGAAGAUAAAGUGGUGGGGCCAUUCGAGUACUGAGCCUCUCCGUGCCAACCAAGCGAAGUCUUCGUCAACGCUUGCGGGAGCUGUCAGGUGUCAGCCAAACCCCUCCUCGUUCUCAGCCUCACAGUCACAGCAGCUUUACGCAAUACGCACCAAGCCACCAACAGCUGAUUCUCUACUAAUCCAAUCUCCAAACCAACCAUCGAGUUCUCGCGCCACGUACUGAUCCGGCAAUGGACAACAAUGGAGAGAAGACGACGACCAUCAUCCACACUCUGCGAGAUGCGCUGCUUCACUUUGCAGUCAAGUCCAAGAAGCUCGCGUCGCCACUGCUGGAGCCAUUCGGGCGGGCGACCGAGCCGACCACCGUCAACGACGACGAGCUGAUGGCGCUCAAGUCCAAACUGCGGCGGAUCCGCGCCACCCUCCGCGACGCCGAGAGCCUGUCCGUCACCGAUUGCUCCGUCCAGCUGUGGCUGGCCGAGCUCGGCGACCUCGAGAACCGGGCCGAGGAUGUGGUCGAGGAGCUGGAGUACGAGUCCCGCCGCUCGGCGCAGCUGGAGGAGCUCAAGCAAGACUUGCUCUACGCCGCCACGACGCGGAAGCAGCGCCGGGAGGUGGCGCUGCUGUUCGCGCCCCCGCCCGCGAGGCGGCUCCGCCGCAAGAUCGACGACGUCUGGGCGAGGUACGAAGAGAUCGCGUCGGACAGGAAGACGCUCCGGCUGCGGCCAGGCGACGGCGGCUGCGCGCCCCGGCCCGCGGCCAGCCCGCUCGUGCCAAGCAGCGUGCUUCCCCGUACCGAGCGCCUCCACGGGAGGCAUGGCGACGUCGAGAGGGUCGCCGCGCUGGUCCUCGGGGAUCCGGACGGCGGGACGAGCUACGCCGUCGUGCCCAUCGUCGGGAUGGCCGGCGUCGGCAAGACUGCUCUGAUGCAGCACGUCUGCGGCAUGGAGACGGUGAAGUCGUGCUUUGAACUGACGCGCUGGGUUUGGGUCUCCCAGGAUUUUGACGUUGUCAGCGUGACCCGCAAGAUUGUUGAGGCGAUCACCAGAUCGCGCCCGGAGUGCGGCGAGCUGAGCACGCUUCAUGAGCUCAUAGUUGAGCACCUUGCCGGGAAGAGGUGCUUGAUCGUUCUUGACGACGUGUGGGAUGACAAUCCCAGCCACUGGAACAGCCUGACGGCCCCGCUGAGCCACUGCGCGCCAGGGAGUGCGGUUGCCGUGACGACGAGGAGCAACAAGGUUGCCAGGAUGGUGAGCACCAAGGUGUAUCAUCUCAAAUGCUUGUCAGAUGAAGACUGCUGGCUUGUAUGCCAGCGACGGGCACUGCCAAAUAGCGGUGCCAACGUCCACAAAGAACUCGUUGAGAUCGGUGAGAGGAUCGCCAAGAAAUGCCACGGCUUGCCAUUGGCGGCAGAGGCAGCUGGUAGCGUCCUGAGCACUUCAGCCGUCUGGGAGCACUGGAAUGAAGUCCUGAAUAACGACUUGUGGGCUGACAAUGAGGUGAAGAACCUGGUACUGCCGGUGCUGAAGGUGAGCUACGACCACCUGUCCAUGCCGCUGAAGCGCAGCUUCGCGUUUUGUUCAUUGUUUCCAAAGGGCUUCGUGUUCGACAAAGAUCUGCUAGUCCAGCUGUGGACUGCGCAGGGCUUUGUGGAUGCUGAAGGAGACUGCAGCCUUGAAGCGAUCGCCAAUGGUUACUUCAAUGACUUGGUGUCAAGGUGCUUCUUCCACCCUUCCCCAUCUCAUGCUCUCAGCGAAGGGAAGUUUGUUAUGCACGACCUGUAUCAAGAGCUUGCUCAGUUUGUUUCAGGCAAUGAAUGUAGGAUGAUACAGCUCCCUAAUUCGACGAAAAUAGAUGAGAGCUCUCGGCAUUUGUCCUUGGUCGACGAGGAGUCCGAUUCGGUCGAAGAAAUAAACCUGAGCUGGUUCUGUGGUCAUCGUGAUCUCCGGACCUUCAUGUUCAUUGCAAGAACAGAACAGAACCCCGAGGAGAUGACCUUCAGAACAAAGAUUCCAUCUGAGCUGAUCACAGGUUUUGAAUGCUUAAGGGCUUUAGAUUUGAGCAACUCUAAUAUCAUGGAGCUACCGAAAUCCAUUGGAAGUCUGAUACACCUAAGGUUCCUUGGUCUGGACAACACCGCAAUUCAGAUGCUGCCUGAGUCAAUUUGUGCUCUUCUCCACUUGCAGACAAUAAAGCUUAACCAUUGUUCUUCCCUUACUCAGUUGCCUCAGGGCAUCAAGCUCCUAUUGAACCUAAGGUGCUUAGAGAUUCCACAUUCAGGCAUAAAGAUGCCUUCUGGGAUUGGAGAGUUGACUAGGCUGCAGAGACUACCUUUUUUCGCCAUCGAGAAUGAGCCUGCUGGAUGCACCAUAGCAGACCUCAACGAACUGGUAAACCUCGAAGGACAUCUUCACAUCACAGGUUUAAACAACCUGGAUGGUGCACAAGCUUCCAUCGCCAACCUUUGGAACAAGCCGCGGAUUAAAAGUCUUACACUCGAAUGGUCCGGAGUUACAAAUUUUAGCAAGUCCCUUUGUGAUCCGCAAGGAAACGCUGUGAGCUGCAUAUCAGACAGUCAGCACCCUGCAAUCAGUGCAACAGCAGAUCAGGUUUUGAAUUGCCUCAAGCCACAUUCAAAUCUGGAGGAGCUUAGCAUCAAGGGUUAUAACGGAUCCUUUUCUCGGUCAUGGUUAGGAUGGCUGCCCUUGGACAGGUUAGCUUCUAUUGAACUGAAAGACUGUCGUAAUUGCAAAGAAGUACCGCCCCUUGGCUGCCUACCAUCACUGAAACACAUUUUGAUACAAUCACUGCCAAGUGUGAAGCUGAUUGGUCCAGAGUUCUUUGGAAAUGCUGGAGAUACCACUUCUAACAUUAGGAGCAGAAUCUGUAAUGUGUUUCCUGCACUGAAGUCACUAAAGUUCAGCAACAUGGAAGCUUGGGAGGAAUGGCUCGGUGUCAAGAGUGAGCACUUCCCCAAUCUUAAAUAUUUCAGCAUCGUCAGAUGCAGCAAACUGAAGCUGUUGCCCAAGUUCACUUCAGAACCAAAGCUGAAAAUACGGUACUGUGACCUGCUGCAAAUGCCUUUGUGUCAGAAUCCGGUGAAGCACAUACCAGCUAAAAAGGAAAUCUCAUAUACGUGCAUUGCGGAAGGUGACAUUUUAGUUCUUGAAGCUUCCUGUUCCUAUGGUGCAUAGAAUCCUAGACGGUAAUCAUUGAUCUGCUUAAUCAGGUAUUCCCAAUCAGAAUUCUUUUUCAAGUUUUCAAUACUAGGCUGUUGCAUUUCAACUAGAUAUGGACUGCCACAGAGAAUUCCAAAAACUGAUCUUCAGACCUCCCCUAUUGACCUGAUGUGUCUUUUCAUUCAUAGGGUUGCAGUGCAAGGAUGUCAUCAAUGCAACUAGGAGCUGAUUGGUAGGCGCCGGCGCCAGGAUCCAGCCCAAGGAGCAGCAGGAGCAAGAAAGGGAAGUGAUCAACAAAGUGGCUAGCAAUCAGGAUUUGGCAUCGGAUCAGUAGUCACCAUGCGUGAAGGAGACCAUUUCAGUUGUUCAUGUCAUACGUAUCCAAUUAUCUUGAACGUUCGAAUUAUGUAAAACUUUAUAUUAUACAAAACCUUUAUAUGAACUUAUAUGUCACCAUUGCGAGGUUCUAUUAUAGAGUAUAGACUAAAUGUAUCAAGGAUUUUCUAUGUGCUGCAAUUGGGUUGUAUUUUCUACU